rnacentral:misc_RNA from 1 species
AAGUCGUAACAAGGUUUCCGUAGGUGAACCUGCGGAAGGAUCAUUAUAAAAUUUUCAUAUAUUAUUUUUAAUAUAUAAAAUUAUACAAAAAUGUAUUCAAAACCCACACUCUUUAUAACCAUAAAAAAACAUUAUAUCUUGUAUAUAAUAUAAAAAAACAACUUUCAACAACGGAUCUCUUGGCUCUC